UACGUAGGGUGCGAGCGUUGUCCGGAAUUACUGGGCGUAAAGAGCUCGUAGGUGGUUUGUCGCGUUGUCCGUGAAAACUCACAACUCAAUUGUGGGCGUGCGGGCGAUACGGGCAGACUGGAGCUCUCGCAGGGGAGACUGGAAUUCCUGGUGUAGGCGGUGGAAUGCGCAGAUAUCGGGAGGAACACCGGUGGCGAAGGCGGUUCUCUGGGCCUUACCUGACGCUAGGAGCGAAAGCGUGGGGAGCGAACAGG
rnacentral:rRNA from 1 species